GGGUCAGUAGGUUGGUCGUGCCACCGGUACGUACUGGUCUCACUGAUUCCUCCUUCCUGAAGAACCGUAAUGCCAUUAAUUUGGUGUUGCGGGGAAACAGGACUGUUACUUUGAAAAAAUUAGAGUGUUUAAAGCAAGCUAACGCUUGGAUACAUUAGCAUGGAAUAAUGAAAUAGGACGAUCGAUCCUAUUUUGUUGGUUUCCAGGAUUGACGUA
rnacentral:rRNA from 1 species